rnacentral:rRNA from 1 species
CUACGGGCGGCUCCAGUGAGGAAUUUUGCGCAAUGGGGGAAACCCUGACGCAGCAACGCCGCGUGAGCGAAGAAGGCCCUUGGGUCGUAAAGCUCUGUCAAGUGGGAAAAAAAUCUUUUGAUCAAUAGUUAAAAGACUUGAUGGUACCACUGGAGGAAGCACCGGCUAACUCCGUGCCAGCAGCCGCGGUAAUACGGAGGGUGCAAGCGUUGUUCGGAAUUACUGGGCGUAAAGGGCGUGCAGGCGGUUUGGCAAGUCAGAUGUGAAAGCCCUGGGCUUAACCCGGGAAGUGCAUUUGAAACUGCCUUUCUUGAGUAUGGGAGAGGAGAGUGGAAUUCCCAGUGUAGAGGUGAAAUUCGUAGAUAUUGGGAGGAACACCCGUGGCGAAGGCGACUCUCUGGACCAAUACUGACGCUGAGACGCGAAAGCGUGGGGAGCAAACAGGAUUAGAUACCCCAGUAGUC